rnacentral:rRNA from 1 species
UACGGAGGAUGCGAGCGUUAUCCGGAUUUAUUGGGUUUAAAGGGUGCGUAGGCGGGCUUUUAAGUCAGCGGUAAAAAUUCGGGGCUCAACCCCGUCCGGCCGUUGAAACUGGGGGCCUUGAGUGGGCGAGAAGAAAGCGGAGUGCAUGGUGUAGCGGUGAAAUGCAUAGAUAUCACGCAGAACCCCGAUUGCGAAGGCAGCCUUCCGGCGCCCUACUGACGCUGAGGCACGAAAGUGCGGGGAUCGAACAGG